CGAGAAAGAAGAGAAAUCACCUGCCGCUCAUGCUGGAGCCUGGCGCUUGCAGUACCGUGACUUGCCUCUCUGUUGCGCUGUUACGGUUGGUGGCAGCAAGGGAGACUACAGGGCAGCCGACAAGACUCCAUACUCUAGAGAGUCAUCUCCUCUGGCUCGAGGGUAGCAGGCAUGCAAUGUUUCCACGGGAAUCCUGAGCAUGGCAGGGUGCCCAGAACCGUCGUGGUUCCCAGGCUUUUCUGGCUUUGCCCACCAGCUGUUCGGUGCUAGAAGAAGGAAGGAGCCACCUGCCACAUGCUAGAGGCUAGAGCCUGUGGCACCACGGCUCACCUCGCUGCAGUUGGUGGCAGCGAUGGACAUUGCAGAGCUCUGGAGGAGUAGGAAGGUGGCUGGCUGCCGCCAGGGCGGGGGCAGGGCUGCGGUGGUGGCCAGAUGGUAGGAGUCUUGUAUGAUGGGCUGCUACGUUUAGGGC